ensembl:snoRNA small nucleolar RNA U6-53/MBII-28
UUCUGAUGAUGAUUCUGCCAUGCUAAUACUGAUGCACCAAUCAGACUGGGUGUACAUGAGUUCAGCUCAACUUCUCACACUGCUAGUGUGAUCUGAGGACA